GUCUCUCUCUCUCUCUCUCUCUGUCCUUGCCUCUCCUUGUGCCGUCUCCCUUCGUAGGACACGGGCAGGUGUGUUAGGUGUGCAUCCCCACAGGCUAGGUCUUGUGAGCUAUGAACAAGUAGGGGACCGAAAUGAUGCAGGGCAGCGGGUGCUAGAGUGGAGCGGUGACUGUGGGUGUUGACUGAGUCUCUGCUCUAGUGGGGCUGAUGUGGAUGGGAUGGGAGAGAGAGACAGGGAUGAGAGCAAGAUUUCACGCAUCAAUUGUAUUUUGUGUAGCGAUGGCUCUUGCUUGGCUUAUUUGAUGCACUUGCAGAGAAAUCAUCGGGGAGCAGCAGCAGGAGGAGAAACUAGCAGACGCGGACCUGGGCAGCCUGGACAUCCUUCUAAGCACAGAUUAACAGUCCUCAGCUUUCUGCCUUCCACGUAACUGGCUGACCAAGAGAAAAGAAGUGGAGGGUCAGCGUCGGCUCACCUCAUGUUAUGGAAAGCGAGUGAGAGCGACGAGAUUGCAAGCAUUUUGGAUGCCAGGCAACAGCCGUCCAGCUGGGAGCGGAGCAGCCGCCAUUGUCAAUGAGAUAAGUAUCUGUUUUGGUGAUUGCUCUGCUCACUGCCCACCUGAAUCCAGAUACAAAUGCCCCAUUAGCUGGGGCUGGAUUUGUUACAAAAUAUUCCUGACUAGGUGUGGUUCUGAAGGAGACAAGGUCCCCAUUUUCAGGGGCUGCUCAUUUCUUUGUUCACCAGCGCUGUGUCCUCUGCAGAAAAAGUUGGAUCCAGGAGGUUGAUUCCAGGUGGCGAGUUGCUUGCCUUCCUCCUAUGUUUUUUUUCUCUCUCUCUCUUCUCCAGUACGUUGGCCAACACUCACCCUUUCUCUUUCUGUCCUUGCUUUUCCUUGUGCUGUCUCCCUUCGUACGACACGAGCACGUGUGAUCGGUGUGCACCCCCACAGGGUAGGUCUCGGGAGCCAUGAUGAAGUAGGAGGGGACAAAAAUUAUGCAAGGUAGCGGGCGUGGGAGUUGAGGGGUGACUGUCAGUGUUAACUUGGUCUCUGUUCAUCAAGUGGGGCAGAUGUAGAUGGGCUGGAAGAGGGAGGCAGGGAUGAGGGCAAGAUUUCAAGCAUCAAUAGAGAUGUGUGUAGUGAUGGCUCAUGCUUGGCUUUUGCAAAUACAUUUCCAGAGGAAUUUCCCAGGAGCCGUAGCCGGAGGAGAAGUUGGCAGAUGUGGACAUGAGGAAACUGAACAUCCUUCUGAGCAGACACGAACAGUCCUCGGCUUUCUGCUUCCCACAUAACUGGCUUACCAAGGAAAAAAGUCACACGUCAGAGUCUACUGCCCUCAUGCGAUGGAAAUUUGCAGAGGAAUCAUCCAGGAGCCCUCGCCUGACGAGAAUAUGCAGAAGUGGCCGUGAGCAGCCUUGACAUCCUUCUAAGGAGACCUCAACAGUCCUCAGGUUUCUGCCUUCUGCCUAACUGGCUUAGCAAGAGAAAAGAAGUCACAGGCCAGAGUCUACUACCCUCGUGCAAUGGAAUGAGAGCGAGAGCGAUGAGUCUGCAAGCGUUGUUGAUGCGACGCAGAAGGCGUCCAUCUGGGAGCGGAACCGCCACCACUCUCAAUGAGAUAAGUGUCUUCUUUGGUGAUCGCUCUGCUCAAGGCCCAUCUUGCUCCCGGUAGGGAUGCCCCAUUAGCUGGGGCUGGGUUUGUAAGAAAAGGUUCCUGAUUAGUUGCGGUUACAAGGGAGACGAUGUCCCCAUUUUCAGGGGCUGCUCAUGUCUCUGGCCAGGACCAGUGUGUCCUCCGCGGCAUAUUAGAU